CUGGGACUGCCAGCAGGGAAGAAGACCAGGAAAUAUCUGCUAAAUUAUGAAUAUAUAAAAUGAGGGGCAUAAGACAGAUGAAAAGAAAACCUGUCUGCAGAGACGAAGGUUUCCAGUUCUGGCAGGACAGCUGCCAAAUGUCCGAUCCAGGGCCCCUGUUUGGAUGUCAAAUGCGUCAUGACCUUUCCUGGGGAGAUGUGAAGAUGCCAGACAGGAAGCCAAAAAACACUUCCAGCCAAGUCUAGCUGCAUGAACC